GACGAACGCUGGCUGCGUGCUUAACACAUGCAAGUCGAACGCUGAAACCCUGGUGCUUGCACCGGGGUGGAUGAGUGGCGAACGGGUGAGUAACACGUGAGUAACCUGCCCCCGACUUCGGGAUAAGCCCGGGAAACAGGGGCUAAUACCGGAUAUGAGCGCCCCUCGCAUGAGGGAUGCUGGAAAGUCUUUUCGGUUGGGGAUGGGCUCGGGGCCUAUAAGUUUGUUGGUGAGGUAAGGGCUCACCAAGACGACGACGGGUAGCCGGCCUGAGAGGGCGACCGGCCACACUGGGACUGAGACACGGCCCAGACUCCUACGGGAGGCAGCAGUGGGGAAUAUUGCACAAUGGGGGAAACCCUGAUGCAGCGACGCAGCGUGCGGGAUGACGGCCUUCGGGUUGUAAACCGCUUUCAGCAGGGAAGAAGCCCCUUGGGGUGACGGUACCUGCAGAAGAAGUACCGGCUAACUACGUGCCAGCCGCCGCAGUAA
rnacentral:rRNA from 1 species